rnacentral:rRNA from 1 species
CCUACGGGUGGCAGCAGUAGGGAAUCUUGCACAAUGGGCGAAAGCCUGAUGCAGCAACGCCGCGUGCAGGAAGAAGGUCUUCGGGUUGUAAACUCCUUUUAUCAGGGAGAAAUAAGGUGGUAUCUUUUGCAUAAGGAUAUGCUAUCAACCGACCAACAGACGCGGUACUACGCAGGAGCCGAGCAUUAUCCGGAGUUCAUGGGUGUAAAGAGGUGCGUAGGUGUGAAAAUUAGUAGCAAGUGAAAACUGGUGGGUCAAACAUUCGGACUGUUAGCUACACUGUUAAGCUCGAGACCGUUAGAAGUAAGUGGAAUGUCUGGUGUAGCGGUGAAAUGCGUAGAUAUUAGAAGGAACACCGAUAGCGAAGGCAGGUUACUGGGACAGUACUGACGCUAAGGCACGAAAGCGUGGGGAGCAAACAGGAUUAGAUACCCGAGUAGUC